rfam:Triticum aestivum genome assembly, contig: Triticum_aestivum_CS42_TGACv1_scaffold_081387_1DS
CUAGUACUCCCUCCGUCCGAAAAUACUUGUCAUCAAAAUGGAUAAAAAGGGAUGUAUCUAGAACUAAAAUAUGCCUAGGUACAUCUCCUUUUAUCCAUUUUGAUGACAAGUAUUUCCGGACGGAGGGAGUAUAAU